rnacentral:sRNA from 1 species
UAUACACAACAAGCUUUUAGUAGGCUGGGAAGGCAAUGUGUGUGCUUUUAGUUGGAGGGAAAGUGUCCAGAGACUUGCUGAAAAGCAACCGGACUCUAAGCACAUGUAGUCCCAGCCCUUCAGAGGUGGAGGUGUGUCUCAGCUUGCCGGUGUCUCAGAGGACCGUAACAAGCUAUGGUGUCUUUUCUGACGCACCUGUCACUGUUCUGCCUUCCUGUGCUGAAACCAUAGCAGCUCUGCGGCUUGCCUAACACACAGGCAUGUUCCAGCCUUGAGAUCCUUGAACUCCUACGGCCUGUAACUCUUCCCAUGGCCAAAUCCUCAUUGGGAAAUCCAUGUGUGCCAAUUAGAGCGCUUCCUGUCACUUGGCCUCUCUGGGUCUGUGAUAGCAUGACGUCCUCUACUUCACAGCUACAGGCUGCUUUCGCCAUCUCAAGGCUGCUCCCAACACU